rnacentral:rRNA from 1 species
GACGAACGCUGGCGGCGUGCCUAAUACAUGCAAGUAGGACGCAGUUGCGAACGGAUGAGUAACGCGUAGGUAACUACCUAUUAGAGGGGGAUAACUAUUGGAAACGAUAGCUAAUACCGCAUACUAGUAGAUGGACCUGCGUUGUAUUAGCUAGUCGGUAGGGUAAAGGCCUACCUAGGCAACGAUACAUAGCAGACCUGGGAGGGUGAUCGGCCAACCUGGGACUGGGACACGGGCCAGACUCCUUCGGGAGGCAGCAGUAGGGAAUCUUCGGCAAUGGGGGGAACCCUGACCGUGCAACGCCGCGUGAGUGAAUAAGGUUUUCGGAUCGUAAAGCUCUGUUGUUAAGGAAGCGGUACUUAACCAGAAAGUGACUGCUAACUACGUGCCAGCCGCCGCGGUAAUAC